rnacentral:rRNA from 1 species
GACGAACGCUGGCGGCGUGCCUAAUACAUGCAAGUCGAACGCACAGUUUAUACCGUAGCUUGCUCCACCAUAGACUGUGAGUUGCGAACGGGUGAGUAACGCGUAGGUAACCUGCCUGGUAGCGGGGGAUAACUAUUGGAAACGAUAGCUAAUACCGCAUAAUAUUGAUUAUUGCAUGAUAAUUGAUUGAAAGAUGCUAUUGCAUCACUACCAGAUGGACCUGCGUUGUAUUAGCUAGUAGGUGAGGUAACGGCUCACCUAGGCGACGAUACAUGGCCGACCUGAGAGGGUGAUCGGCCACACUGGGACUGAGACACGGCCCAGACUCCUACGGGAGGCAGCAGUAGGGAAUCUUCGGCAAUGGACGAAAGUCUGACCGAGCAACGCCGCGUGAGUGAAGAAGGGUUUCGGAUCGUAAAGCUCUGUUGUAAGAGAAGAACGGGUGUGAGAGUGGAAAGUUCACACUGUGACGGUAUCUUACCAGAAAGGGACGGCUAACUACGUG